AGAUCACUUGCAGGAAUCCUAACGAGAAAGAAUUGGAGAUGAAAGUGAUGUAGUUGCAAAUUGAUUGAAGAAUUUUGAAAUUUGAGUUUCAACCAAGAGUUUUGCAGCUUUGAGUUUUAUGCUUUCGGGUAUGGGUAUGAGUUAAAGAUGAAGAAGGAGGGUGUUGAUGAUGAUAGAUGAAGAUGACAAUGAUGGUUAUGUGAUGAUUAAAGAGUAGGAAUAAUUAUUUUUAUUUUUUUGGGAUUUUCUGGAUUUUAUUGAUGAAUUUGUUGUUGAAGAUCAUGAAGAGAUGAGGGGAGAAGAAGAUGAAUGGAUUUUAUUAGGUGUGAGUGGUUCACAAUAAAGUACAAUAGACCCCACAUGAUUCAACGGUCUUCUUUUAAUGAAAAAAAUCAAAUGGUUAAAAUUAAAAAAAAUUAAUAAGGCAUAUGGUGGACCACCUUUAAACAUGGUUCACCUUAGACAUUUGAUGUUAAAAACUAACGGAGAGGACCAAAAGAGGAAACGGAAGAAGACAUAAGAGACCAAUUUGAGACGUUUUUUAGUUAGGGGAUCAUUCUAAAAAAAAGAAUUAAGUUAAGGGACUAAACGAUGUAUUGAGCCAAAAAAGUAAAUCAACGAUUUGCUAGCUGAAAUUGUGAGGGUCGAACAUUUUCUCCUUUGAAAUUUGUAAGACCAUCUCCACCAUAGCACUUCAUGUUGAAUGUUUAAGUGGAUCAUACAUGUA
rnacentral:lncRNA from 1 species